rnacentral:rRNA from 1 species
GCUCUUCCGAUCUGAUGCCUUGGCACUAGAAGCCGAUGAAGGACGUUACUAACGACGAUAUGCUUUGGGUAGCUGUAAGUAAGCGUUGAUCCAGAGAUUUCCGAAUGGGGGAACCCAGCAUGAGUUAUGUCAUGUUAUCGACAUGUGAAUUCAUAGCAUGUCAGAAGGCAGACCCGGAGAACUGAAACAUCUUAGUACCCGGAGGAAGAGAAAGAAAAAUCGAUUCCCUGAGUAGCGGCGAGCGAAACGGGAAGAGCCCAAACCAACAAGCUUGCUUGUUGGGGUUGUAGGACACUCUAUACGGAGUUACAAAAGAACAUGUUAGACGAAUCAUCUGGAAAGAUGAAUCAAAGAAGGUAAUAAUCCUGUAGUCGAAAACAUAUUCUCUCUUGAGUGGAUCCUGAGUACGACGGAGCACGUGAAAUUCCGUCGGAAUCUGGGAGGACCAUCUCCUAAGGCUAAAUACUCUCUAGUGACCGAUAGUGAACCAGUACCGUGAGGGAAAGGUGAAAAGUACCCCGGAAGGGGAGUGAAAGAGAACUUGAAACCGUGUGCUUACAAGUAGUCAGAGCCCGUUAAUGGGUGAUGGCGUGCCUUUUGUAGAAUGAACCGGCGAGUUACGAUCUGAUGCAAGGUUAAGCAGCAAAUGUGGAGCCGCAGCGAAAGCGAGUCUGAAUAGGGCGUUGAGUAUUUGGUCGUAGACCCGAAACCAGGUGAUCUACCCUUGGUCAGGUUGAAGUUCAGGUAACACUGAAUGGAGGACCGAACCGACUUACGUUGAAAAGUGAGCGGAUGAACUGAGGGUAGCGGAGAAAUUCCAAUCGAACUUGGAGAUAGCUGGUUCUCUCCGAAAUAGCUUUAGGGCUAGCCUCAAGUGAUGAUUAUUGGAGGUAGAGCACUGUUUGGACGAGGGGCCCUUCUCGGGUUACCGAAUUCAGACAAACUCCGAAUGCCAAUUAAUUUAACUUGGGAGUCAGAACAUGGGUGAUAAGGUCCGUGUUCGAAAGGGAAACAGCCCAGACCACCAGCUAAGGUCCCAAAAUAUAUGUUAAGUGGAAAAGGAUGUGGCGUUGCCCAGACAACUAGGAUGUUGGCUUAGAAGCAGCCAUCAUUUAAAGAGUGCGUAAUAGCUCACUAGUCGAGUGACACUGCGCCGAAAAUGUACCGGGGCUAAACAUAUUACCGAAGCUGUGGAUUGUCCGUAGGACAAUGGUAGGAGAGCGUUCUAAGGGCGUCGAAGCAUGAUCGCAAGGACAUGUGGAGCGCUUAGAAGUGAGAAUGCCGGUGUGAGUAGCGAAAGACGGGUGAGAAUCCCGUCCACCGAUUGACUAAGGUUUCCAGAGGAAGGCUCGUCCGCUCUGGGUUAGUCGGGUCCUAAGCUGAGGCCGACAGGCGUAGGCGAUGGAUAACAGGUUGAUAUUCCUGUACCACCUAGUAUCGUUUUAAUCGAUGGGGGGACGCAGUAGGAUAGGCGAAGCGUGCUAUUGGAUUGCACGUCCAAGCAGUAAGACUGAGUGUUAGGCAAAUCCGGCACUCAUAAGGUCAAGCUGUGAUGGGGAGAGGAAAUUGUUUCCUCGAGUCGUUGAUUUCACACUGCCAAGAAAAGCCUCUAGAUAGAUAACAGGUGCCCGUACCGCAAACCGACACAGGUAGUCAAGAUGAGAAUUCUAAGGUGAGCGAGCGAACUCUCGUUAAGGAACUCGGCAAAAUGACCCCGUAACUUCGGGAGAAGGGGUGCUCUUUAGGGUUAACGCCCAGAAGAGCCGCAGUGAAUAGGCCCAAGCGACUGUUUAUCAAAAACACAGGUCUCUGCUAAACCGUAAGGUGAUGUAUAGGGGCUGACGCCUGCCCGGUGCUGGAAGGUUAAGAGGAGUAGUUAGCUUCUGCGAAGCUACGAAUCGAAGCCCCAGUAAACGGCGGCCGUAACUAUAACGGUCCUAAGGUAGCGAAAUUCCUUGUCGGGUAAGUUCCGACCCGCACGAAAGGCGUAACGAUUUGGGCACUGUCUCAACGAGAGACUCGGUGAAAUCAUAGUACCUGUGAAGAUGCAGGUUACCCGCGACAGGACGGAAAGACCCCGUGGAGCUUUACUGUAGCCUGAUAUUGAAAUUCGGCACAGCUUGUACAGGAUAGGUAGGAGCCUUUGAAACGUGAGCGCUAGCUUACGUGGAGGCGUUGGUGGGAUACUACCCUAGCUGUGUUGGCUUUCUAACCCGCACCACUUAUCGUGGUGGGAGACAGUGUCAGGCGGGCAGUUUGACUGGGGCGGUCGCCUCCUAAAAGGUAACGGAGGCGCUCAAAGGUUCCCUCAGAAUGGUUGGAAAUCAUUCAUAGAGUGUAAAGGCAUAAGGGAGCUUGACUGCGAGACCUACAAGUCGAGCAGGGUCGAAAGACGGACUUAGUGAUCCGGUGGUUCCGCAUGGAAGGGCCAUCGCUCAACGGAUAAAAGCUACCCCGGGGAUAACAGGCUUAUCUCCCCCAAGAGUUCACAUCGACGGGGAGGUUUGGCACCUCGAUGUCGGCUCAUCGCAUCCUGGGGCUGUAGUCGGUCCCAAGGGUUGGGCUGUUCGCCCAUUAAAGCGGUACGCGAGCUGGGUUCAGAACGUCGUGAGACAGUUCGGUCCCUAUCCGUCGUGGGCGUAGGAAAUUUGAGAGGAGCUGUCCUUAGUACGAGAGGACCGGGAUGGACAUACCUCUGGUGUACCAGUUGUCGUGCCAACGGCAUAGCUGGGUAGCUAUGUAUGGACGGGAUAAGUGCUGAAAGCAUCUAAGCAUGAAGCCCCCCUCAAGAUGAGAUUUCCCAACUUCGGUUAU